AGAGAUUGAUCCUGGCUCAUAACGAACGCUGGCGGCACGCCUAACACAUGCAAGUCAAGCGCAGUCCUUCGGGACCGAGCGGCGGACGGGUUGGUAACGCGUGGGAACAUACCCUUCUCUACGGAAUAUGCAUUGGAAACGAUGAUUAAUACCGUAUACGCCCUUUGGGGGAAAGAUUUAUCGGAGAAGGAUUGGCCCGCGUGAGAUUAGAUAGUUGGUGAGGUAACGGCUCACCGCCCCCCGAUCUUUAGCUGGUUUGAGAGGAUGAUCAGACUCACUGGGACUGAGACACUGCCCAGACUCCUACGGGAGGCAGCAGUGGGGAAUCUUAGACCAUGGGGGCAACCCUGAUCUAGCGAUGCCGCGUGAGUGAUGAAAGUCCUAGGGCCGCAAAGGUCUUUCGCCUCACAUGAUAAUGACUCUAUCUGGAAAAGAAACCCMGGCUAACUCCGUGCCRGCAGCCGCGRUAAUACGGAGGGSGUUAGCGUUGUUCKGAAUUACUGGGCGURAAGCGCACGUAGGCGGACUGGAMAGUUGKGGGUGAAAUCCCGGKGCUCARCCCCGGAMCUGCCUCCAAAACUUCCAAUCUWGAKAUYGAKAKAGGUGAGUGGAAUUCCAAGWGYAGAGGUSAAAUUYGUMKMUAUUUGGAGGAACACCAGUGGCGAAGGCGGCUCACUGGCUCUAUACUGACGCUGAGGCCGAAAGCGUGGGGAGCAAACAGGAUUAGAUACCCUGGUAGUCCUCGCCGUAAACGAUGAGAGCUAGUCGUCGGGUAGCAUCCUAUUCGGUGCCGCAGUUAACGCAUUAAGCUCUCCGCUUGGGGAGUACGGUCUCAAGAUUAAAACUCAAAGGAAUUGACGGGGUCCCGCUCAAGCGGUGGAGCAUGUGGUUUAAUUCGAUGCUACCCGAAGUUCCUUACCUGGUCUUGACAUGUAGCGAAGGUUUUAGAGAUAGAAUUGCACCUUCGGGACCGCUAACCCAGGUGCGGCAUGGCUGUGGUCAGCUCGUG
rnacentral:rRNA from 1 species